UACAUAGGGUGCGAGCGUUAAUCGGAAUUACUGGGCGUAAAGCGUGCGUAGGCGGUAGCGUAAGUCGUGUGUGAAAGCCCCGGGCUAAACCUGGGAAUUGCAUUCGAGACUGCUCUGCUAGGGUGCGGAAGAGGGAAACGGAAUUUCCGGUGUAGCGGUGAAAUGCGUAGAUAUCGGAAGGAACACCAGUGGCGAAAGCGGCUUCCUGGUCCAGCACCGACGUUCAGGCACGAAAGCGUGGGGAGCAAACAGG
rnacentral:rRNA from 1 species